rnacentral:rRNA from 1 species
UACGGGGGGGGCAAGCGUUGUUCGGAAUUACUGGGCGUAAAGGGUUCGUAGGUGGCUCGCUAAGUCAGACGUGAAAUCCCUCAGCUUAACUGGGGAACUGCGUCUGAGACUGGCGAGCUCGAGUGCAGGAGAGGAACGCGGAAUUCCAGGUGUAGCAGUGAAAUGCGUAGAUAUCAGGAGGAACACCGAUGGCGAAGGCAGGUCUCUGGGCUGACACUGACGCUCAUGCACGAAAGCGUGGGGAGCAAACAGG